AUGUUGUCCGGCCAGAGCGCUUUCCCAAUUCCUGAUCCCUCCUAUAUAUAUGCACGCGCCAUUGCUGUAGAACACCACAAACCAACCGGUGCAAAACAAACACCACAUCCACCUCACCUCAUCUACCUCGCACAAGAAGAAGAAGAAGAAGAAGAAAGAGGAGGAGGAGCAAGAGGAGGGAGAGGAGGAGCAGGAGGAGGAGGCGUCAUGGACAAGACAAGUACAAAGGUUCCAGGUACAACGGUUCCCCAUAACAAGCGAACACCGCCGUCCCCCAAUAAGCCGAAGGCACAACCAAAGAAACCUAAAAAGUCGUGUACCCGUAGGAAAGAUCUGAAGCUGACUCGCAAAAACAGAGGAUAG
rnacentral:rRNA from 1 species